ensembl:lncRNA LINC02532 long intergenic non-protein coding RNA 2532
ACAAUAGAGCUUAUAGGCUAAUGAGAAGACAGGAAGAAACAACAGGAACACAUAUAGCUGGAAUGCAGAUGGGAUCUGUGCUACUUACGCUAGCCAUGGGAUGAUUAGAACAAGAUAAGAGACAUGAGGAAGACUUCUUCAAGGAGGUGCUCAAGCCAUGUUUUGGAAAAGAGAACUCAAGGUCUGGCAGGGAGAAAGGAGCAAGAUGUCUUUGUUCUUACUUCACAGAGGAAAUAGAUGCGCUCUGGUAGCAAUUACCUCACUUCCUGCCACCGGCUCCUAUAAACCAACCUGCACCUCUGCGCCCAUCCUUUGCUCUUCCCAUCUGGCAAAAUGGAACUGAUGUCUCUCCUCCUACAAAGGUCAAGUCUCUUCUUAUGCCAUGGAUUCCAGCCUUCUUAGGAAAGGGCAAGUAGAGCUGCAGCUGUCUGGCGCCACUGUAAUGCUGUCUCCUCCUCUGAGUGAGUUCAUCCUGGAAACAUUUUCUCCCAUAAGACAUGCACAGGUCUUACGUUUACAUGUUUCACUGAAAGAAAUUUGAUUCCACUGCUGGGAUGACAAGGAAGACUGAAGAAACCUAAUCCUAGGUGCUGCCACUGGGACAAACAAGAAGCACCAGACACAGUGCUGUUUUAGGGUGGGGCAGAAUUAUGCUGAGGGAAAAGUUAUUAUCACUCUUUAAGGCCAAGGAAACCACAAUUUUUAAAGAAGCUUCUAGAAAUUCUACCCAGUAGAAAAUAAAGAUAAACUUCUGUAAGGAAUUUCAUUCUUUUCAGAAUUCGCAAUCUGAAAUGUAGAAGCCCAUUCCUUCAUGGUUCUCAUAGAUAUUUAGUGUGACUGAGGGGUCAGUGGACUCAUAGCACUCAGGCCAGGCUUCUCCUGAGUCCCUUUCUUUGGCACAGAGGGAGUGAUUCACAGAUCCUCUACCCCCAAAGGCAUUGUUUCCUCAUCUCAACAAGAAUCCAGCACCCGUCAUUUUAUCAGCACACGUCACUAGCUUCUCAAGUGAGACUACUCUGAAGUGAUCUGUGUUUGAAGAAUGCCUUUCCCUUUCCCUUACGUAACUAAGAGGAUGAAAAAGGACACUCACUCCCUAUAUGAAAGCUGUGUAUUGUAAGCAGUCAUCUUGCCUGGCUGAGAACUCUAGGAUCUUUUUCUCUGCUCUCCUUUAGGCUGACACUCAUAGCCAGACCUUCUGUUUAUUAGCCCCCUGAAUCUAUUUGAAAAUAUUUUUGCUUUCAUUAUAAUAUAAGUCACAUUCUUCUUGCAUCUGCCGCUGCAUUUUCCAAAAGGGUUAUGUCAAGGGAAAUUCAACACUCACUUUUCUCAUUAUUUGCUUACCAGCUUGCUCACUCAUCAAAAUACCAGAGUUAUUUGAUACUUCAGAAGAUUAUUUCCCCCUUUAGAUGAUGUGUCAAGGGAAGGGGAGCUGGCCCCAGUAUCAGGUGACAGAAUUUUCUUCGCAUUUCUACUGUUGACUCAAUAAAUGCCCUUGGGCAAGUCA